AGUCUUCACUACCUACAUUCCCACUCAGCCCCUGGCGCGAGCGGCGGCCGGGGCGGGGACGCCCAGCCUGCGCCCGGGAUGGCGGAUACUAUUCACACCCCGGCGGCCGGGACCCGGUGACUGGGCGCGGGAGGGUCUGCAGCGGGCGGCGCUGCAGCAGCCUCCGCACGGCCGCCGCCGCCCGCGGGCGCGAGUGUGCGCGGGUGUGGAAGGCCGGCGUGCGGGCCGCGAGGGGUGUGCGCGCGUGAGGCGGAGCGGGGCUCGCCCCUCGCCGGCGCCCGCCGCCCCGCCGGUGAUCGCUCUCCGGCCGUCUCCAGCACCCUUGGCCCCCCACGGCCGUUGGUCGGGGCGGGGGAGGGAGAAAGUGAGACUCGGUGUCAUCACCAUCCAUUGUCAGGAGGGGAGGAAACUGGAAUCCAGCAGUGGCGAGCAGCAGCUGGGCGGUCACAUCUGGGAAUGCAAAGCCGACCUCCCCCCCCUCCUCCUCCUCCACCACCUCCUCCUCUUUCACCCAGGAUCACUUCCGAAACCACUUCGCCUUCAGCCCCUGCCUCGGCCAGAGGGAUUUAUUUAAUGGGGAUGUGUUCAAGGCAAGAGCGAAUUCAGAAGGAUAUCGACGUCGUGAUCCAGAAGUCCAGAGCCGAGAAGGACUGCCUGUUUGCAGAUUUCAGAUACUCAGAUUCCACCUUUACUUUCACCUACGUUGGCGGCCCCAAAAGUGUAUCCUAUUCAGUACAUGUAUCUGAAGAUUACCCAGAUAAUACAUACGUGUCAAGUUCAGAAAAUGAUGAAGAUGUAUUAGUUACUACAGAGCCAAUUCCAGUAAUUUUUCAUCGAAUAGCAACAGAAUUAAGGAAGACAAAUGACACUAACUGUUGCUUAUCCAUAAAAUCCAAAUUACAGAAGGAAAAUGGAGAGGAGUCAAGACAAAAUAGUACAGUGGAAGAAGAUUCUGAAGGUGAUAAUGAUUCUGAAGAAUUUUAUUAUGGAGGACAGGUGAACUAUGACGGGGAACUGCGCAAGCACCCCCAGCUUGAGGCUGAUCUGUCGGCAGUGAGAGAGCUAUACGGGCCGCAUGCAGUUUCUCUCAGGGAAUACGGAGCCAUUGAUGAUGUAGAUAUUGAUCUGCAUAUUGAUGUUAGCUUUCUGGAUGAGGAGAUUGCUGUGGCUUGGGAAGUGAUUCGAACAGAACCUAUAAUUGUCCGACUACACUGUUCCCUUACACAGUAUUUAAAUGGCCCAGUGCCCACUGUUGAUGUCUUUCAGAUUUCUACAAAAGAGCGAUUUGGAUUGGGACAUCAGCUGAAAAAGAUCAUGCAGACAUUCGUUACACAGCAGUGGAAACAGAGCAAAGAGAAAUCCAGUUGCCUGCACAAUAAGAAGCUGUCAGAGAAGAAGGUGAAAUCUCCCCUGCAUUUAUUUUCUACCUUGCGCAGGUCGCCAAGUUAUCCUCCCCCUGGUUGUGGUAAAAGCAAAUCCAAACUGAAAUCUGAGCAAGAUGGAAUUUCCAAAACGCAUAAGCUGCUGCGGAGGACUUGUUCCAGUACGGUCAAGACCGACGACGUGUGCGCCACCAAGUCGCACAGGACCUUUGGUCGCUCCCUGUCCAGCGACCCCAGGGCUGAGCAGGCGGUGGCGGCCAUUAAGUCGCACAAACUUUUGAACCGGCCCUGCCCGGCAGCUGUCAAGCAAGAGGACUGCCUCACUCUGAAGUCGCACAAACUGUUGACUCGGUCCUGUUCUGGAGACCCGCGAUGCGAGCACAACACCAACCUGAAGCCUCACAAACUGUUAAGCAGAUCUUACUCCAGUAAUCUCAGAAUGGAAGAGCUGUAUGGACUGAAAAACCACAAGCUGCUCAGCAAGUCUUACUCCAGUGCUCCCAAGUCAUCCAAGACGGAGCUCUUCAAGGAACCUAACGCAGAGGGCAGGAGGCUCUCUCUGACCUCAGGGCUUAUCGGUAUCUUAACACCGUCUUCAUCGUCAUCUUCCCAGCCUGCUCCAAAUGGUGCCAAAUGCAUUCCAAUACGAGACCGCGGCUUCCUAGUGCAGACAAUUGAGUUUGCUGAACAGCGGAUCCCUGUAUUGAAUGAAUACUGUGUGGUUUGUGAUGAGCCACAUGUCUUUCAAAAUGGCCCCAUGCUUAGGCCCACUGUGUGUGAGCGAGAGCUGUGUGUGUUUGCUUUUCAAACCCUGGGAGUAAUGAACGAAGCUGCUGAUGAGAUAGCAACUGGAGCUCAGGUGGUAGAUCUACUAGUAUCCAUGUGUAGGUCUGCACUGGAAUCUCCUAGAAAAGUUGUCAUUUUCGAGCCAUAUCCUUCUGUGGUGGAUCCUAACGAUCCUCAGAUGCUGGCCUUCAACCCCAGGAAGAAGAACUAUGAUCGAGUAAUGAAAGCACUGGAUAGCAUAACUUCUAUUAGAGAAAUGACACAAGCACCAUAUCUGGAAAUCAAGAAGCAGAUGGAUAAACAAGACCCCCUUGCUCAUCCCCUACUGCAAUGGGUUAUUUCAAGUAAUAGGUCACAUAUUGUGAAACUGCCAGUUAACAGGCAACUGAAGUUUAUGCACACUCCACAUCAAUUCCUUCUUCUCAGCAGUCCACCAGCCAAAGAAUCUAAUUUUAGAGCUGCUAAAAAACUCUUUGGAAGCACCUUUGCAUUUCAUGGCUCACACAUUGAAAACUGGCACUCUAUCCUGAGGAAUGGUCUGGUUGUUGCUUCUAAUACUAGACUGCAGCUCCACGGUGCAAUGUAUGGGAGUGGAAUCUAUCUUAGUCCAAUGUCAAGCAUAUCUUUUGGUUACUCAGGGAUGAACAAGAAGCAGAAGGUGACAGCCAAAGAUGAGCCGGCGUCCAGCAGUAAAAGCAACAGUGCAUCACAGUCACAGAAAAAAGGACAGCAGUCCCAAUUCCUGCAGAGCCGUAACUUAAAAUGCAUAGCCUUAUGUGAAGUGAUCACCUCACCUGACCUGCACAAACAUGGAGAGAUAUGGGUCGUCCCAAAUACUGAUCAUGUCUGCACACGAUUCUUUUUUGUGAGAAUUUUAAUGUGGUGAGGAAAAGGCAGUGGUGCGCAUAAAUCUUUGAGACCGCUUACACCCAUGGUUAUCUAUUUUGAAGUAAUUACCACUUCUCGAAAGCUUCUGUCUUGAAGUCAUUUUUACGAAGUAAAAUUAAUUCAUCACCUGUUCUACUUCUGAAUCUUAUCACGGAAGUUUAAAAAUUCAUUCUUGGAAAAUUCUUUUUGCCCAACUAUGAAGAUGGUCAGGUUGGAGAUGCGAAUAUUAACACACAAGAAGGAGGCAUUCACAAAGAGAUCCUUCGAGUAAUUGGUAAUCAAACUGCUACUGGUUAAAGGACCAUCAUUUAAUUAACAUGAUCUGAAAGCCUUCCUCGGGUUCAAAGCUGGAUUUUGAACUGAAGAAGAUGAUAAAAUAAUUUAUUGUUAUUAUAAACAAAAGUAACCCUUUGAAUACUGAUUUUUUUCUUAGUAUUUCUAAGUAUCUUAUUAAAUACCUAGAAUGGUAUAAAAUUGAUCAAUUGUAGGGUUAUGGAAUCUAGUAAUAAAAUUACAACAGCACUUAAACUGAAGUUUGGGUUGCUCACACAAUAAACAGAUUGAAAAAACAGUUUUGUGCUGAUAUUUUUAUAUUAAACUCUUUAAUUGGAAAUUUGGUAUUAUAUACCGACAUUUUAGGUUACCAAAAUAGAACUGAGAACAUUUUAUAAUGACGUCUAAUCUAUACAGUACUUUGCAAUAAGUAUGUUUGCACAUUCUGGUGUGCUAUUUAAUUAGUGGUAUGAACAUUCAAAUGUUUUGGGGAGGGAUAUUUCCUAUUCUCCUGUUAUUUUUUUCUUAUACAAAAACAAUUAGGUCUUAGAUGCAGUGCUUUGCCCAAGAGUAUGUAAUGUAUAUAUCUAUAGAUUGAUGCAUCAAAAUGUGUGAUCGUGCAAUUAUGUGUGUAUAUGCACAUAUAUGUGCUUUGACAACAGAGAUAGCACGGCUCCACGAUUCUAUGCUCAUUUGAUGAAAAGAAAAUAAUAUUCAGUAAGCAGUAAAUCUGGACAUAAACCAAGACAUGAGUCAAAUGUACCACCAUUCAUUCACUGAAGAUAUUUAGAAACAAUUUUUCUGUUUGUUUAAAUAAUUUCCCCUUCAGUUAGAAUUCAACUCUUUUAUAAUGUUAUCUAACAGUUAUAAUUUGGGGAACACAGAUGCCCCAGGUGGACUAAUUCUAUAUUCAAAUGAUUAUAUGUUUAAAAGAAGGGCCUCAGAAUUUAAACAAACGGUAUAUAUUUUUUAUUUCCUACAAUGGAACAUUUUUAAAAUUUAUUUAUACCACACCAGCAUUUUUUGUAUUUUUUCAUCUAAUACCUCUGCUUAUUUUUUUUCGUAUUGAGAAAGAAGACAAACGUUGAAGUUUCUUUUAUAUUAAAAGAACACAAAUAAGUUUAUAGAGAAUAAUAACACCAGCUCUUAGCAUUUUCCUUUCAAGAGUCCUGUGCUCAUCAAACUCAUUUCUGUUUCUUUGGGUCCUAAAGUUAUUCUUAUUCAUCAUAAGUUUUGGACAGUGUUUAUUUUCCUACAUGAUGUCUUUGGAAUAAGGCCAUUCAUGAGAGCAGUUUAAUUAGCAAGUCUACCACUCUGUUCAAACCCUGAGUCAUUAGGCUCUUAUCUGAUUCUAAUUUAUUUAGAAAGAAAAAAUAAAUAAAAAUGUUUAGUCAUUUGCAAAUAUAAUGUUAUAACUUCUGUGUUUAUUUCCUUUGGCAUAAAAGGGGAGCACAAAGGUCAUACUCAUUGUUAAGGGUUGCUAUCUAAGAAGUAUUUGCUAAUUGUUUGUUUUCUUGUAUUGUAAAUAAUUGAUAUGCCACUUAUUUCUGCAAAAAUAGUCUUAAAGUGGAUGGGAUAUUAAUCAUUGUGAUAGGAUCCACUUAAAACAUUGAUCUGUUCUGAUUUGUGCCUCUGAACUCAAAAGCCAGACUGAGGGAUCGUGUUGCAUGGUAGGGCCAAGCUAUAGUAUCUUACUUAGUGUUCUGUGACCAGAUACUUGAAGACUUCACAUGGGACAAGAGGACGACUUGCUUUUUUUCUGUCAAGAUUCCCCAAGUCUUCCAAAAACCUUUGACUGGGUUUUAAAAA